rnacentral:rRNA from 1 species
UACAGAGACUGCAAGCGUAUUCGGAUUCACUGGGCGUAAGGGUGCGCAGGCGGCCGUGUGUGUCAGGUGUGAAGCCGGGGCUUAACCCGGAAUUGCGCCUGAACUACAUGGCUAGAGCAUUGGAGAGGGUAGCGGAAUUCACGGUGUAGCAGUGAAAUGCGUAGAUAUCGUGAGGAACACCAGAGGCGAAGGCGGCUACCUGGACAAUUGCUGACGCUCAGGCACGAAAGCGUGGGGAGCAAAAGGG